GACGAACGCUGGCGGCGUGCUUAACACAUGCAAGUCGAACGGAAAGGCCCUUCUUUUGUGGGGUGCUCGAGUGGCGAACGGGUGAGUAACGCGUGAGUAACCUGCCCUUGACUUUGGGAUAACUUCAGGAAACUGGGGCUAAUACCGGAUAGGAGCUCCUGCUGCAUGGUGGGGGUUGGAAAGUUUCGGCGGUUGGGGAUGGACUCGCGGCUUAUCAGCUUGUUGGUGGGGUAGUGGCUUACCAAGGCUUUGACGGGUAGCCGGCCUGAGAGGGUGACCGGCCACAUUGGGACUGAGAUACGGCCCAGACUCCUACGGGAGGCAGCAGUGGGGAAUAUUGCACAAUGGGCGGAAGCCUGAUGCAGCAACGCCGCGUGCGGGAUGACGGCCUUCGGGUUGUAAACCGCUUUCGCCUGUGACGAAGCGUGAGUGACGGUAAUGGGUAAAGAAGCACCGGCUAACUACGUG
rnacentral:rRNA from 1 species